rnacentral:rRNA from 1 species
AUUUUGGACAAUGGGGGAAACCCUGAUCCAGCCAUCCCGCGUGUAUGAUGAAGGCCUUCGGGUUGUAAAGUACUUUUGGCAGAGAAGAAAAGGUACCUCCUAAUACGAGGUACUGCUGACGGUAUCUGCAGAAUAAGCACCGGCGAACUACGUCCCACAAGCAGCGGUAAUGCGUAGGGGUCAACCGUUAACCGGAAUUACUGGGCGUAAAGCGUGUGUAGGCGGUUCGGAAAGAAAGAUGUGAAAUCCCAGGGCUUAACCUUGGAACUGCAUUUUUAACUGCCGAGCUAGAGUAUGUCAGAGGGGGGUAGAAUUCCACGUGUAGCAGUGAAAUGCGUAGAUAUGUGGAGGAAUACCGAUGGCGAAGGCAGCCCCCUGGGAUAAUACUGACGCUCAGACACGAAAGCGUGGGGAGCAAACAG